AUGACGAGGAACCUGAAGGAUCUCAAUUUCAGCCCGACGGUGGAUACAUUCCUCGUAUACUCUUUCUAAACUCAGAUGGCGUAGUUCAACCUGACCUAAUCAACACAUUAGGAAAUCCCCAAUACAAGUUCUUCUAUUCAAAUGCUCUAAUGGUGACUGAAGCAAUGAAAUCUGCAGUCAAAGCACUGGGAGGAAGCAGAAAUGAUGAGUUGUGACAUGGAUCUCUAGUUUAAACUAUUUAUCAAGCAAUAAUGGCAGGUGCCCACUC